AAUGAACGCUGGCGGCAUGCCUAACACAUGCAAGUCGAACGGCAGCACAGUAAGCUUUUGCUUUUACGGGUGGCGGGUGGCGGACGGGUGAGGAAUGGAUCGGAAUCUACUUUUUCGUGGGGGAUAACGGGGGGAAAGUGACGCUAAUACCGCAUAUGAUCUACGGGUGAAAUCAGGGGUUCUUGGGAGCUUUCGCGUCUGAAUGAGAUGGGUUCGUGUCGGAUUAGCUAGUUGGUAAGGUAACGGCAUACCAAGGCGACGAUGCGUAGCUGAUCUGAGAGGAUGAUCGGCCACACUGGAACUGAGACACGGCCCAGACUCCUACGGGAGGCAGCAGUAGGGAAUAUUGGUCAAUGGGCGCAAGCCUGAUGCAGCAACACCGCGUGGGUGAAGAAGGCCUUCGGGUUGUAAAGCCCUUUUGUUGGGAAAGAAAAGCAGCAGGUUAAUCCAUCGCUGUUUUGACGGUACCUAAAGAAGAAGCACCGGCUAACUACGUG
rnacentral:rRNA from 1 species